CUGAGUGGGCACACAGUAGCAAAGCUUUAAAGUGAAGGCAGGUUAAAGUUUCACACUGGCGGAAGUUAACUGAACUUUCUGAAACCGGAUGUAGAAGUGGAGAAUCGAUGACGGCUAUUAUGCGAAAUGUUGAGGAAAAAGUAUGGCAGUGUUGCGUUUUUCUUGCAUGGCGAAGGGCUGCCGAACAGGGCUCAAAGAAAUCUGGCGCAAACGGUCCUUAAUAGGUUAGUUGAUUUCCUGUUCCUUAACUUAAUGGUCAAUUAACUUGAAAAUAGUUUCUUUCAAAUUGAAUUAAGUUUCACUGAAUCUGGAAAUAGUUUCACUUGAUUCGAAUAAAGUUUCGCUUCAUAUGAAAAA